UACGUAGGCAGCAAGCGUUGUUCGGAAUUACUGGGCGUAAAGAGUGUGUAGGCGGUGCUCUAAGUUCGGUGUGAAAUCUCCCGGCUCAACUGGGAGGGUGCGCCGGAAACUGGAGUGCUGGAGCGCGGGAGAGGAAAGCGGAAUUCCUGGUGUAGCGGUGAAAUGCGUAGAGAUCGGGAGGAACAUCAGUGGCGAAGGCGGCCAUCUGGGACAACACUGACGCUGAGGCACGAAAGCGUGGGGAGCAAACAGG
rnacentral:rRNA from 1 species